UCUAUUUGCAAAUGCCAUUAAUAUCAGAUAUAUUUUCAAUGGCAAAAUAAGUGUUUUGUUUGAGGAAUCUUGGAGUGUUAUGAUUCAAACCAACUGAGGAGCUGUUUCUGCAAGGACAGGACGUACUCCUGGACGGUGAUAGCGACUCCGACUGGGAGGCCCCGGUGCCAAGCUGCCCGCUCUACCUGUGCCCCCAAUGGUGUUCAUAUGUCACAGUUCAUUACUGCAGGCAUGACUGUGCCUCAGGGCCAAAAGGGCACAGCAUGGAGGCGUCGUUGUGUUCUGUGUCGCAUGAAAUGCACCACUUGUUCAGUUUGCCUCUGCUUUACAUCAGAAAGAGACUGCUAUGGGACAGGGCACAGGCAGCAAAAUACUGUGACGAGGAGUAUACUGUUUUUAAAAAAAUAUAUAUUUAUUUUCUAAUAUUUUUUUAAACAUUUUUUUUUGUGUGUGUGUUAUUUGCACUGCUGUAUAUAGUUAUAGGUCAUUUCACCAAUUCAGCCACUUGGGUACAUUUGGGCAACUUGUGUGGGACACCUGGGUGACUUCAUGCUAAAUGUCAUGUAGCUCACCCAUUCCUGAAGUUAUCAGUCUGAAACUUUGCACACAUACAGUUGCCCUCUUGUGUUAUCCAUCAAAAUUAUCUCCAGCAUCCUAUUCUAGUACAUGUGAAAGAUGAUACUACAACAAUAAAAAACAGAAAACGUA